CCAAUAGCGUAUAUUAAAGUUGUUGCAGUUCAAAAGCUCGUAGUUGAAUUUCGGGGUUAGUAGGUUGGUCAUGCCUCUGGUAUGUACUGGUCUCACUGAUUCCUCCUUCCUUAUGAACCGUAAUGCCAUUAAUUUGGUGUUGCGGGGAAUUUGGACUGUUACUUUGAAAAAAUUAGAGUGUUUAAAGCAAGCUAACGCUUGAAUACAUUAGCAUGGAAUAAUGAAAUAGGACGUUCGAUCUUAUUUUGUUGGUUUCUAGGAUUGACGUAAUGAUUAAUAGGGAUAGUUGGGGGCAUUAGUAUUCAAUUGUCAGAGGUGAAAUUCUUGGAUUUAUUGAAGACUAACUACUGCGAAAGCAUUUGCCAAGGAUGUUUUCAUUAAUCAAGAUCGAAAGUUAGGGGAUCGAAGACGAUCAGAUACCGUCGUAGUCUUAACCAUAAACUAUGCCGACUAGGGAUCGGAUGAUGUUAAUUUUUUAAUGACUCAUUCGGCGCCUUACG
rnacentral:rRNA from 1 species